rnacentral:lncRNA from 1 species
GGAUUCAUUCCUUUUUAUUUUAAACCUGUUCAUGAGCCGACCCCUCAUUCUCUUCAUCUUCCUCCCUCCAAGACCCGUCAUCCUCAUCUUCUUUCUCUCCAAAACUAAAGAUUUAGCUCAAGAACUUUCUCCCUUCUCCUCUCCACCUCAAAUCACCGCCUGGGAAAGGAGAUUUUCGCAUCUUUCUCCUUUGAUUGAAGCGGUUGGAGCGUGCCCUAGCCUCCACCGUUCUUCUCAAAACCAUCUCUUCUCUCCGCCAAAAUCCCUUUCCAUCAUCUUGUAACCCUCCUUCUACUCACCUUUUUGGUCUUCCGAGUCUCCCUGCCUGCUCUUGGGGUGAGAAUGGCUCCAAAGAUGAAGCUUCCUCAAAGAAGAAAAUCAGUCCGUGAGCUGGAAGAAAGCGUCCGCAAAAAAAGGCAAGCUGCUCAGUCCUCCACUGCUCCCAUUUCGGCUUCAGUGUCUGCUCAAGGUCCCUCUCAGUCUCCCCUUAGCCCUAGUAAAAUCCCUCUAUCUGAUAGGA